rnacentral:tRNA from 3 species
CGCGGGGUGGAGCAGUUCGGUAGCUCGUCGGGCUCAUAACCCGAAGGUCGCAGGUUCAAAUCCUGUCCCCGCUACCA